rnacentral:rRNA from 1 species
ACAAAGAAGAGUUUGAUCCUGGCUCAGGAUGAACGCUAGCGGCAGGCUUAACACAUGCAAGUCGAGGGGCAGCGGGUUGUAGAAAUACAAUGCCGGCGACCGGCGAAAGGGUGCGUAACGCGUGAGCAACCUGCCCGUAACUGGUGGAUAAGCGAUGGAAACGUCGUCUAAUACACCAUAACAACAGAGGUGGCAUCGCCACUGUUUAAAAGUUUCGACGGUUAC